GCUGGGAGCGAGCGGGCUGGAUGAACCCACAGUGCCAGGGAAGCAGAGCUGUGCCUUCCCCGCUCAGCUGGACAGGCUGGAAGUGCUCCAAACACGUUUUCCUGCAUUUUUGUUUCAGUUUUGCAAAAUUUCCUCUGAAAUAGCUUUCCCUUAAGAAGUAGAUCAAUUAAACAAAAAAGGAAGAAGAAAAAAGAGAUUGAAAAGCACCUUUGUUCAGGGCCCCUGCAUCACAAACGCUCGCCCCGAGCUGGCAGCAUCAUCACAGCUUUGGUGCUGGGCAAAAUAACCCCGAGGUGAGCAGGGAUAUCACCUCGGCAAGACGUUCUCUGAAGACCUGGGCCCUAAAGUUGUGAGCGCCUGAUUCACAAAAUGAGUUAUUUCAGAUCAUUUUGAAUAGGCUUUUUCUUCUUUUUUCUUUUUUAAUGAUUCUAAUUUUUCUACCGCUCGGAGACCCAGACACGGUAACCACGGAAACUCACUUCACAGGCAGAGGGAGUCGAAAAAUACGGGAGCACCACCAACAAACACAGAAUCUAAUCAUCUCCCCUAAGUGUGACAUUAAAAGAGCCGUGUGAUGAUGCAUAGCUGAAAUAGAGGAUUUCAUUAGUGUUUGCUUCAUAAAACAUUCUCCUCCUUAUUAGGGUGUGCUCACACUGGGACCUUGGUGCGAAGUGCUGCAGAAGCCAUAGCCCAAACCUGGGAGCAUUCGGGAGCACAAUGAGAUGAGGGUGGCCCGGGGGGGGGCGGGGAUGUGGCACCGAGCACACGGGGGAGAAGCAUCCCUGCAAGUCCCUGAUGGGAUCUCUUCUUGCCCAACACUCAGAACAGGGGAAGAAGGGAAAAUCAGAGGAAAAUAUGCCGUAGAGAAACCAAAUGCUGCACAAGAAGAGCUUUAUCUCAGUUUCCCCAAUUGCUUUACCUAAAAUGCAGCAGACAGCAGUGCUCUGCCAGGAGGUGUAAACCUCUGCAGGUCUCUUCCAGAGGGGCUCAGCACUGCAGUGCCUCCAUCACUGCUGGCCCUGCUGCCAUUGCUCCCAAGCUUCCAGACCUCAGGAUAAGCCAACCCCCUCACCGCUGCUGCCCAUAUUUUUCUGCAGCAAAUGAACCUCCCCAUCUCUGCCUCCACCCACCCUUAUGUUGGGAGACCUUCAUGUUCUCGUUGUCCUCCAACUUGCCAGGGAUGGCACCUUGGCAGGCCUGUAGGUCUGGCCAAGGGUGAAGCAGGGAGCAGGGACAGGAGAGGCAGAGGGGAAGCAGAGGUAGAGCAGGAAUGAGGGAGCGCGUGGGGAUGGAGCGGGAGGGCUGGCAGCUCCACGGUGCCUUGAGGACCAGCCCAAGUUCUGCCCCACUGCCCCCCCGAGCAUCUCUCUAACCAGGACAGCCUUGGCACAGGCUUCAGCCAAGCUCUGUUGCGAGCCAGUGGAUCCUGUUCCUUAUCCAGUUCCUACACAUGCUACUCCUGGAAACGGCUCAGCUCCUCACAUACAGUGCUGGGAAGAAAAGAGAAAGCAAAGAGGAGGGGGCAGAGAACAGCAGGGAGGGAAGGUCAGGGAACGCUCUCUGGCAGGAUGAGCCCAGGGAGGGUGGCUGCAGUGGGUUGUUGUGAGUGGCAGCACCGGGCAGGAGGAGGAAGGAGGUGACUUCAUCUCAUUCCAAAGAGCUGACAGAUAGCAGAGGAUAAAAGCUUGGGAAUCCCUCAGCUCCACUGAGCAGAGCUCUCAGCUGCCAAGAACAGAGAAGGAGAUGGAAGCUGGGGUUUGAAUUGCAGGCUCAGCCUCCUGCCCUGGGUCUUUCCCACGCCAGUGAAAAAAUCUGAAGAGUGGCACAGCCGACAGGACCGACGCUGGGAGGGAAACGGCUGCGACGGCCCCACUGCCCCACUGCUCACCGGCUGCCAGCGGCCUGCGGGGCUCCGGGAGGAGGAAGGGGGAACAUCUGCAGCCGCCGAGCUGCGCCAUCCAUCACACGGGGCUGCGUGGCAGCACGCUGCCCUUGAUUCUGCAAACCCCAGGCCUAACCUCCAGCUGCCAUUUGGAGAAAAAAAACCAUAAUCAAAGUAAUUACCACCUCCACUUCAGACAUUACAUUAUCAAGCUAACCAGCUACCCAUUGAAGACAAUUAAUCUGCACAGAGGCACCAAAAGAAACUGUCAGCAAUUAGAAGUGGAAGCACACUUUUGUAGUUAAUUGGGAAUAUUGCACGUCUGUUACAUCUUUAAUUAGUUGAUGGAGUGUGUCCCUUCUCAGACAUUUUUCUUUUUUAAAUUAUACCUGGAAUAAACUUUUUUUUCGUGAUUCUUUUUUUCCUGCAAUGAAGCAAAUAAAUAAAUAGUAUAUGGAACUGGAUUCUGGCUUCUCCUUGCAUUGCAGCUCAGUGUGCACACAGGACUUUAUAGACCUCCAAGAGAUAAGAGGGAAAAGUUCUUGCUUUCAGAGCUUCUCUUUAUUUUUUUUCAUUCUUGAUCUGAUUUUAAGACCUCUCCUCUGUGUUUUCACACUUCUCCCAUAAAUCUCAUUUUCUCCCUUUCUCUGGGGAUCAUCAGGUGAAGGAAUGCUCGGGCCUGGCAGCUGAGCAGAGCCAGGCACACACCACCAUACAUUCAUUUUAACACUUAUUUUUGCAAAGGUUCUAAAUUUUAUCUUCGCAUAAUGACGCUGCUUUGCAUAUCUAUAGCCGCUUUCAUCCGAUGAUCUCAGUACAUUCCACUGACUGUUAAUUAAUUCUCAAAGCACCCUGGCAAAGUCAAUAGGAGGGCUUUAUUUGAGUAGCUUUUAUCUAAUUAGCCCAAGGGAGGGGAAACUGAGGCAGGAGGAGACUGAUGAGGCAUUACAGCCACUUGGACAGUUAUGGGACAGCACGAGCCAGGAAACCCUCGUUAAAGAAAGCUCGUUAAAGUCUUUGCAGCCCAUGCAGGCAGGCGUGCCACGCGAGCACGUCAGGUAUGAGCAGCACAGACCCAGAACGUCUCUGCUGACAGAGCACACAGACUGGCUGGAGGCAGGGAUCAGCCCGGUGCCAUGAACGGAAAGCAGCACGGAGCCCCUGUGACUCCAGCUCGGCACCGCUGGGCGCUGCAGGGUGGCACUCAUCAACCUCUGCCAGCUCCAGCUCGGCUCCCAGGAAAUGGCGCUGCCGAAAUAACAUUGCUUCGUGCAGGAGGAUGCAGCCUGCAGGAAUUCAGCGCCCCUGGGGAACUGCUGGGACAAACUGCAACAACAAACCUGCAGAAAACCGAGCUGCAAAGCCAAGGACACCAAGGCAGCUGCUGUCCUUCCUGCUGCCCUUCAGAAAAUCCUUCCUACGUUACCUAACGCCAUCGGCUCGUCUGGAGCAUCGCUGCAAGAAGUGGGUUCCUUGCCCACAGCUGAUCUGCUUCGUUUUGUCAUUCACUGGUGUGACCAACUUGCAACUCAGGUUUGAAGGGAGGAGGAAACAUCUCCAACAAUUGUUGGUAGAGAAAAAUUCACCUUCCGCACUGCCUGAGGACAACUGCUUAGUGCAAAGGGCAAGUUUGUGCGGGUGCCUCUGUGUUGCUCCGCAUCCAGGAUGCAUUUCAGCAGCCCAGGAGGACCCCGAAGGCUGUGUCUGUGCAUGCCCCUUUCCCAUGUCUGGGCAGUAGGCACAGCUCACCAAACACACCAUCUUCUGGGGACGGAAGCGGCUGGAUCACAGAAACUACCAGUACCAUGAGGUCGAGGCAAUUUCUGAACCGGUGGCAGCACAAACUAUCUGGUUUAAUGGUGAUACCAUUUAGUAGGCUGUAGGCUGAAAUUCAAGCUGCAUUGAAGUCAAAGGGAAUGUAUCCGCUGGGCUUUGGAUCAGCCUGCAAAGCACAUGGAGCGCGUGGGUGCUUUCUCUUUUUGCCAGGGACAAACCAAGCAAAACUCAACCUCCUUCUUCCUUCAGCUGAAAGAAAGCAUCAACAGAAGACUGAAUUUUUGGCCUGAAAGUGAGCCAAAUGCUGCUGAAAGCCGGCCCAUGGGCCUCGCACCAGGAUAAUGAGAAUUACUGAAGUGCCUUGAGAUUAUGCCAUGUUCUGUCCUUCUGUAGCACAGUGCUGCAGGAACAGCCGAACUCGGAGCAGGGAGAGUCUCCCACACUGACUACAGAACUGAAGACUGGUUCUCUCUGAUGCCCAGGCACCUCGUGCUGUGGCAAUGCAGCACCAGGUUUUCUCCAUCACGCUGGCAGAGGCUGCUCUGAGAUCUGCCCUGGAGCUGUGCUGGGUACCUGCAGCCAAGGAGCAGGAGAGAUGCGGUAGUAGGAGGGAGUGGGGGUCCACAGCUCAUGAAAACGGACCUCAAAAGGAUCCCCACUGUGUACUGCAUCCAUAACUGGAUCCUACACAGUGUCACUGAUAAACAAACCAAUACAAGCCCUUUCCUCCCAACACACUUCUCAUGUGAGCAGCAGAAAGUGGAUAUUGCAGACAUCCCUGGUCAGUCCAUCUCAUUUAGUCCGCAGUAACUGCUGCUGCAGGCAAAGAUGCAAAGACCCACCUAUCAAAUCAAAAGCCUUUCUGGAAGUUACAGUCUAAUCCACUCAAAGUAAAAUUUCUAUCUUGUCCUAUCCUUUAGAGUUUAGCUUGUGCCCUAAAGCUGGAGGACUUAAUCUCAAUUCCAAAACUCACAGAUGCUUUUAAAUCCACGCUUGGUAGCUCUGGACACUCUAGUAACUUCCUCUAAUAAAGGGAAAUCUCUUUGCUGGAGAGCUGCGCAGAACAGCUUGCCUGAAAGGCUCACAUGCUGACCUGCUUUUCUCACCACCUGAAAAGACCCACACAAGCAGAGACCCAACUCGUGGUGCCGGUCCCACGGCAGCUGAAUUCAGCUGGCAGAGAUGAGGGGCAGCAGCCCGCGGUGCCCAGGAGGUGGGGGAGAAAAAAAGAAUUCUUCAGGCUCUGAUUUCGACACUGUUUUUCUCUGCCUGCUGGAUCCUCCUUCCAGUCCACCCACAGCAGGCGACUCGACCCUGCACUGUGAUGUCUUCGGGCAAACAAAACAGCUGGGGAAUGUGCGCAGCUGGGCAGGUUUAAUGUACCAGCAUAUUUUGGGGGUUUGCCAGCUGCUGGCUGCAUCCUUGUUCUCCUCUCUUUGAAGAAGAGGUUUUCCAUGGCACAGAAGUGAGAGCAAGGAGACCAGAUGCUCAGGGACAGCCUGAAAGGCUCUGAGGCCAGGUGGCACUUGUUGCUUUGGGCACCUGUGAUGCAGGGCAGGGAUUUUUGGAUGCAGGGUCACAGAAUCAUGGUCUUCCUGGAGCCUUCUCUUCCCCAGGCUGAACAGCCCCAGCUCAGGAUGCUGAGGGAUCCUGAAAAGCAUGUCCUGAAAAGCUCACGAGCCCAGGGAUGUGAAGGUUGGGUUCAGCGCAGCUACUCCUGUUCACUUUUAUCAGUGGAGGUGCUGAGGGUGGUGAAAGCUGCUGGACAGGAAUAAACAUAGGGCACAUUCCUGCCUCAGAGAGCAGUCUGAGUGCUUAAAGGUCUGCAGCAGGAUCCCCAUGACAAUAGAUGGGACCAAAAGCCUAAGUGCUGUACACGGUUUUGAAAGAGGAUUGUAAGGCCGAAACCUCAUGACUGCAGGGGCUGUGUUCGGGGACUCAGUCCCUUCUGUCCCGCAUCAUCAAACAGCAGCAUCUGUUUGUGUCCUGAAGCCUCAGUAAAUAAUUCUCUUUUCUAUACAUUAGCACAGCCAUGUCCUGCCUUACAUGCCAGUUCUGUCACAGCCACAAGGCAGGGUAUUAAUUCUGUCCUAAGCUGGUGUGACGUUCCCAUUACAGCAUCCCACUGUCAGCUCCUCUGCACUGCACACGCUCUCCUUCACUGCUGCAGAGGACAGGGCUGGCCUGGGGAUGCGUCUCACCCCAGCACGGGGAGCUGCGCUCUGCCCAUGGCAAUUUCUGCCUCUGGCCAAAUGCAGAGUCAGCGAGGGGCAAGGCGGGGAGAUGUGACUCUGAUGAUGGGCUCUACCAAGUGAGAGGAGAAAUGGAGACCAUGAGAAGAUGUAAGGUUUGUUGCUCUGGACACGUCCAGGAUUGCCUUGCUGCAGCGCAGUGAUGUCAUGUGGACGCACCUUCAUGGCAGCAGCACGUGCUGUGGGCUGCUGAGGCUGGGAGCUUCUGUGCAGCCAGAAAUAUCCCAGUGAUAGGAUCUCUGCUAGGGCCAGAGAGCCAAAGAUGGGCCCACUGCAAUUGCAGAGUUCUGCACGAGGAAAGAGCUGCCUGGUCCCAUCUGGAGGGAAUUAGCACUGGAGCUGUUUGUCAGCUGCUUCCACACGGAGGAAGGGCAGAGAUUUCACACCGCUGGUCUCAUCCAGAAAAAAAAAAACAACAGACAGGCGUGGAGAUUUACUGCACACAAACCUCAGAGGAUUGCAAAUGCCCCAUGGAAAAAACCUGCCUGCAAGUGUUUUUAACUGGCAUGCGAGAACAGAGCAGCCUUGCCAAAAUUACCUUGGAGCAUGGAAAAUGGAGCAGAUCCCCGGCCGGAUUAAACAAUGGCAUCAGCAAAAGAGGAGUUUGAGAAAAGGUGAAAAGGAGGAGCGGAGGGCUCUGGGCGAGGACCACCCAGGAGAUGAAAGCUGCUGGCUUGAGCUGCUGCCUGCAGCUCCGGCUGUGCCCACAGCAGUCAGACACCACGCUGAGCCCCACACUGAUCUGCCUGCAGAUGACAUCAGCAGCGCUUGAGAUCUCAGACUGUGGGAUCGGGUCCCGUUCCUCCCUUCACUAGAGAUGAACUUGCAUCAGAGAAAUCUGCCUGGACGCUUUCCUGUGAAACCUGGGGAUCUGCUUUAGUGGCAGUUGGACUGGAGGAUCUCCACAGGUCCCUCCAACCUCCGUGGUUCCGUGGUCCCUCGAGAUGCCUAAAGGGCAUUUCCAUGGGCUUUAUACAUUUUGCUUACCUGUUGCUAAAUUGCAACAGGGAGUCGUUUUUAUUUCCUUGCUGCUAAGUUUCUGCAAAGCUUUGCUAAAAGUCAGAAUUGUGUCUGAAAAGAUAUUGAGCAUGUUUUGUUUCCUGACAACCACACGUAGAGAUUCAAUUUGUGCGUGCUUCCUGGCGAACGUGGCACACUGUGACUGCUCACACGUUAAGCGACGCAGCAGAGCUGGAUGGAACCGUUUUUUCCUCUUCCAUGAGGAUUUCAAAAAGUAAUAAAAGAACCAGUGGUGUUGAAACAGAUCUUAAUGUUUUGUAAUGUGUAAAACAAAAGGGUUUGCUAUCUAACUAGCUAAAAUAAAACACAAUGCCAGACCAAAGAGGAGACUCUCUAUGUCCAGGUGGCAACAAACUAUUCCCCCAAAUGAAAAGGAUUUCAAUGGAAAACUGCAGAAAACAAUAAGAAAACUCUGUCUUAUCAAUAGAGUUAAAUCUGGCAUUUUCUGCUGGAGCCCAAAUGAGGAACUGCCAAGCAGAGCUCCUGCAGACUGCAUCACCCCUUUUUCCUCCCUUUUAAAUGCUCUUCUCUCGGCACAGUUGGUUUGCACGUUUCUUGUAGAAAAACAAAGACAAUGGCUGACUUUCACACCCUGUUCAGACAUAGAGUAAAUUUUUGAUGCUUAUUAUCCUACAUGCAGGGACAUAACUUUCCCCUUGAUCUUUAUUAAAGAGAGAAGGGAAAUUCCAAUGUAUCAGAGGCUCUGUUAUGAUCUUGAAUACUACAGCAGCAACUAGAGAAAACAUCUAGCAAGACAAGACAGGGGAUGGGUUUUGCAGACAGAGCACAGCAGCUCAGACACGCGUUGGGUCUGUGAAGCUGAGCUGGAGAAUCCCCAGCAGCAAACCUUUCAUCUGCCCGUCAGCAUUCCUGCAGCUGGGAAUUGCAGAGUCAGAAAAGAAAUGA